GCCAAAAUAGCUCAGUUGGGAAAGCAUUAGAAUGAAGAUCUAUAAGACUCCGGUUCAAUCCCGGCUUCGGCA
rnacentral:tRNA from 1 species